GUCCUCUUAGCUCAGCUGGAUAGAGCACUCGCCUUCUAAGCGAGCGGUCACAAGUUCGAAUCUUGUAGGGGACACCA
rnacentral:tRNA from 1 species